GCACAUCUAGUUCAAUUGGUAGAGUGCAAGGCUUUUAACCUUGUGGUCAUGGGUUUAAGCCCCACGAUGGAUA
rnacentral:tRNA from 1 species